rnacentral:rRNA from 1 species
UACGUAGGUGGCAAGCGUUGUCCGGAUUUAUUGGGUUUAAAGGGUGCGUAGGCGGUUCUAUAAGUCAGUGGUGAAAUCCGGCAGCUCAACUGUCGAUGUGCCAUUGAUACUGCAGAACUUGAGUACAGACGAGGUAGGCGGAAUUGACGGUGUAGCGGUGAAAUGCUUAGAUAUCGUCCAGAACACCGAUAGCGAAGGCAGCUUACUAAGGAGUAACUGACGCUGAGGCACGAAAGCGUGGGGAGCAAACAGG